rnacentral:rRNA from 1 species
UACGUAGGGGGCUAGCGUUGUCCGGAAUCAUUGGGCGUAAAGCGCGUGUAGGCGGUCCGGUAAGUCCGCUGUGAAAGUCGGGGGCUCAACCCUCGGAUGCCGGUGGAUACUGUCGGGCUUGAGUACGGAAGAGGCGAGUGGAAUUCCUGGUGUAGCGGUGGAAUGCGCAGAUAUCAGGAGGAACACCAAUAGCGAAGGCAGCUCGCUGGGACGGUACUGACGCUGAGGUGCGAAAGCGUGGGGAGCAAACAGG